rnacentral:tRNA from 2 species
GCCCUGGUAGCUCAGCUGGAUAGAGCGACGGCCUCCUAAGCCGUAGGUCAUGGGUUCAAAUCCCAUCCAGGGCG